CCCUUAGAUGUUCUGGGCCGCACGCGCGCUACAAUGGUCUUCGCAAACGGAUGCAUUCUCGAAGGAGAAUGCCAAUCUUGGAAUCUAUGCCUUGGUCGGGACAGUUGCUUGCAAUUUUUCGACUCGAACCAGGAAUUCCUUGUAAUCGUGAUUCAUCACAUCACGAUGAAUACGUCCCUGCCCUUUGUACACACCGUCCGUCGCUCCUACCGAUCGAAGAGUUAGGUGAAUUGUUUUGAUCGAUAAGAUUUGACUAUGGUCAACUCUCGUUGUGAAAUUCUGUGAAUCUGACUGUUUAGAGGAAGGAAAAGUCGUAACA
rnacentral:rRNA from 1 species